UGUAUUAGUAAAGAAACAAUGGUUAUUAAUAUUAUGCGAUUCAUCAAUGAAGUUGUUUGCAGUAUGUGGUUAUAUUUAUAUUGGGACUACAAUGUAUAGAUUUAUGUUGGUAGUUUUUACUAUAACCGUGAGUUAAUUAAAAAUCCCUAGAUGUAUGAACUACAUGAGUAUUUUUUAGGGUCUUCUUCUCUUUUUUACAAUAAUAACUCGGUCGGUAUAAAAGAAUGAAUACCAUAAGCAGAUGUUAUAAUCUGCCGUCUAGCUCAAGAUUUAUUUAGUGACGAGCGUAGAUCAGCUGACAUUUUCGAAAGCGUCAACAUUUAAAAGGUUAUAAUUUAUACUGCAAUUAUGCAAAAAAAAGAGGAAGUACCGAGAAAUGGAUUGUUAUUUCCAAGUUUUUGUGAUGCGCAUGCUUUCAUUAAAAAGUACAUGGACUCAUGUCAAGAAUUAUUCACCAUAAAAACUUCAAACCUUAUUCCAAUCACUAAACCGUACAGUAAAAUUCUUCGUUACAAAAAAGUUGUUUAUUAUUGUAAAAGAGGUGGUAACGAAUAUAAAACUAAAGGAAAAGGCAUUCGCGAUACCAGAACAUUCAAGAUUGGUUGUACCACUUCAUUCACACUAAAAUUGACUGCAGAUAAUAAUAACUUGGAAAUAAUUGAAUGUGAUUUAGCUCAUACAAAACAUGAGCCAACAGGGAAUAUGUAUAAAUUAUAUCCGGAAAAUAGAAGAUUAACUCCUGAAUAACUUACGGAAGUACACAAAUACAUGAAGUUACACUGUGAAAAAAAAAGAUUGCGUCACCAUAUACUAACGGAAUUUGGAAAAUCUUGUACUUUCAAAGACUUAUCAAACGUUGAAGUAAAACUGAAAAAAAUUAUUGACGACGAUGAUUUAACGCACAUCACCAAGUUUUUGAAAGAAAAAGGAGCAGAUGUAUCAAUUUGUACAGAAGAAAAUGAGUUUAAGGGAUUAUAUUUUUCUACUCCGGACAUGAAAAACUCCAUGAACGCAUGGCCUGAAAUAAUUUUUAUCGAUGGUGCCUAUAAGCUACUUAAUAAUAACUUGACACUUGUAGUUGUAGCUGUUGAAGAUUCGAAUGGCUCAACCAAUAUAGUAGCUAUUGGUUUAUUAGCAUCAGAAAAUAUUUCUACUUUUGAUUGGUUUAUUAAAACUUUUAAAAAAAAUAAUGAAGCAGCAUGCACUCGAAUAAACUCCUUCAUGGCGGAUAAAGAUAAU